rnacentral:rRNA from 1 species
GACGAACGCUGGCGGCGUGCCUAAUACAUGCAAGUAGAGCGAACAGAUUAUGAGCUUGCUUCUUAGACGAUAGCGGCUGACUUGCGAGUAAGUCGUUGACAAGUAACUUACAAGACUGGGAUCAGUUCGGGACACUUGAGCAAGAUCCGUAUAAUAUAUUGAUCUUAAUUGUUCAAUAGUGAAAGAUGGAAAUGCUGUAUUUUAUAGAUGGAUCCGCGCCGUAUUGGCUAGUUGGUAGGGUAAGGGCUAACGAAGGCAACGAUGCGCAGCAGACCUGCGAGGGGGAUCGGCCACCCUGGAACUGGGACACGGUCCGGCCUCCUACGGGAGGCGGCAGUAGGGAAUCUUCCGCAAUGGGCGAAGGCUUAACGGAGCAACGCCGCGUGAGUAAUGAAGGUCCUCGGAUCGUAAAACUCGGUUAUUAGGGAAGAACAGUGGUGUAAGUGACAAUGCACGUCUUGACGGUACCUAAUCAGAAAGCCACGGCUAACUACGUG